rnacentral:lncRNA from 1 species
UCUAUUUUUGUUCUUUUCUUUCACAACAUAUUUACAAAACAGAUGUUUCUUUUCUAUAUUUUUAUUUUCAAUGCUUGCUCGGUUUUUCUUUUCUUUUUCAAGAGUUAUGGUACUUACCGAUUCUCCCCAACUUAUUUCUUACUCACCCUAAGUGAAUGCUCUUAACUUUUUACAGCAAAAGAACAAUAAUCAAGAUUUUCCGGAUUGUA